AACGAACGCUGGCGGCAUGCCUAACACAUGCAAGUCGAACGAGACCUUCGGGUCUAGUGGCGCACGGGUGCGUAACGCGUGGGAAUCUGCCCUUGGGUUCGGAAUAACAGUGAGAAAUUACUGCUAAUACCGGAUGAUGUCUUCGGACCAAAGAUUUAUUGCCCAGGGAUGAGCCCGCGUAGGAUUAGCUAGUUGGUGGGGUAAUGGCCUACCAAGGCGACGAUCCUUAGCUGGUCUGAGAGGAUGAUCAGCCACACUGGGACUGAGACACGGCCCAGACUCCUACGGGAGGCAGCAGUGGGGAAUAUUGGACAAUGGGCGAAAGCCUGAUCCAGCAAUGCCGCGUGAGUGAUGAAGGCCUUAGGGUUGUAAAGCUCUUUUACCAGGGAUGAUAAUGACAGUACCUGGAGAAUAAGCUCCGGCUAACUCCGUGCCAGCAGCCGCCGUAA
rnacentral:rRNA from 1 species